rnacentral:lncRNA from 1 species
CCCAACGUUAUCAUAUGGUUGAAAGUAAUUAAAAAGGAAAUAUAGACCGAUGAAGAUGAUCAAAUGAGGUCGGCAUGCUAGUUGAUACAUGUAUGCGCAAAAAAUAUCAAGUCUAUAGUGGUUAUAUUUCAGCGUCUGUUUCUGUAGUUAUAAGUUUGGUAAACUCUUUGAUGAUCGCUUUGUUCAUGUUUACAUAUUAAAAUGUACUUUGUUUGCAUUUAAAAAAAAAACAAAAAAAUAUAUAGAAAAUGAUUAACAAUUAAAUAUUUACCUAAUUUAUACCUUUUCAGGGAAAAUUAUAUCAUUAAACAAUUUUUUUGCUGUCAAGGCAGGAAAUCUUUUUCGACCUGUGUAAAUAAACUCAAUGACAUCAUAAUUACCAGUAUUAAAAUUUUAUAUUUACGCCAGACGCGUUUCGUCUAUAAAAGACUCAUCAGUGUCGCUCGAAUAAAAAAUGUUAAAAAGACAAAACAAAGUACGAAGUAAAAAGCACUGAGUACCAAAAAUUCCUAAAAGUUUUGCCAAAUACAGCUAAGGUAAUCUAAUCAUGAGGUAGAAAAGCCUUAAUAUUUCAAAAAUUCAAAAAGCAAAGCACACAUUUUUGAAUGUACAAAUAUUGAAAUGACCCUCAGUCCUUUAGAAUCUGUAAUGGUAAAUUUAAAAGAUGUUUAACUGCUGGUUCAGUUGCAUCAUAUGAUUUAUAUGCUAUAUGUAUUUGUAUAUUGUUCACGAUUAAAGAUUACAAAAUAUUAAGCAAAAGUUUGUUUAUAUUAUUCAACACAAC